AUCAAAUUAAAGCAAUUAUUGGGAUCUUUAAUUUGAUAUGCAUAUUAGAUAUUUUAUAGUUAUUCGAAUUUCACAAUUUUAGAAAGAAAUAAAACAAAAUAAUAUGAAGAUAAAGAAAAAAAUAGAAAAAUAUAUAAUUUAUAAAUAAACCUUCAAUUUUAUUUUAACUACAAAAUUGUCACUCAGUUUUGAAAAUAUAUUACUCAAACUUAUUUAAAUUUAUAAAAUAUCUAAAAUAAUCAAAUACUACAUCCGUCC
rnacentral:lncRNA from 1 species